GGCAGGCCUAACACAUGCAAGUCGAGCGCGCCCUUCGGGGUGAGCGGCGGACGGGUUAGUAACGCGUGGGAACAUACCUUUCGGUAAGGAAUAGCCACUGGAAACGGUGAGUAAUACCUUAUACGCCCUUCGGGGGAAAGAUUUAUCGCCGAGAGAUUGGCCCGCGUUAGAUUAGAUAGUUGGUGGGGUAAUGGCCUACCAAGUCUACGAUCUAUAGCUGGUUUUAGAGGAUGAUCAGCAACACUGGGACUGAGACACGGCCCAGACUCCUACGGGAGGCAGCAGUGGGGAAUCUUGGACAAUGGGCGCAAGCCUGAUCCAGCCAUGCCGCGUGAGUGAUGAAGGCCUUAGGGUCGUAAAGCUCUUUCGCCAGGGAUGAUAAUGACAGUACCUGGUAAAGAAACCCCGGCUAACUCCGUGCCAGCAGCCGCGGUAAUACGGAGGGGGUUAGCGUUGUUCGGAAUUACUGGGCGUAAAGCGCGCGUAGGCGGA
rnacentral:rRNA from 1 species